UACGUAGGUGGCAAGCGUUAUCCGGAUUUAUUGGGCGUAAAGGGAACGCAGGCGGUCUUUUAAGUCUGAUGUGAAAGCCUUCGGCUUAAUCGGAGUAGUGCAUUGGAAACUGGGAGACUUGAGUGCAGAAGAGGAGAGUGGAACUCCGUGUGUAGCGGUGAAAUGCGUAGAUAUAUGGAAGAACACCAGUGGCGAAAGCGGCUCUCUGGUCUGUAACUGACGCUGAGGUUCGAAAGCGUGGGUAGCAAACAGG
rnacentral:rRNA from 1 species